UACGUAGGGUGCAAGCGUUGUCCGGAAUUAUUGGGCGUAAAGAGCUCGUAGGCGGUCUGUCGCGUCUGCUGUGAAAACUCGGGGCUUAACCCCGGGCCUGCAGUGGGUACGGGCAGACUAGAGUGCGGUAGGGGAGACUGGAAUUCCUGGUGUAGCGGUGAAAUGCGCAGAUAUCAGGAGGAACACCGGUGGCGAAGGCGGCAUCCUGGACCGAAAUUGACGCUGAGGCGCGAAAGCGUGGGGAGCGAACAGG
rnacentral:rRNA from 1 species